rnacentral:miRNA from 1 species
AAAAAAUUGGGAGCAUCCCUGUUUUCUUUAGAAUAUAUAUAUAUAUAUAUAUAUAUAUAUAUAUAUAUAUGAAAAUUCUAAAGAAAACAGGGAUGCUCCCAAUUUUUU